rnacentral:tRNA from 2 species
UCCGCCGUUGGCGCGGGUGGGGGCACCUCCGUCGUUGGCGCCGGCGCGGGGGGCGGUACCUCUGUCGUUACCGGCGGCGCGGCGGGC